rnacentral:tRNA from 1 species
GAGGGCAUAGCUCAGUGGUAGAGUGCAUGGGUAGUAUACACGAGGUCCUUGGUUCAAUUCCCAGUACUUCCA